GAUGAACGCUGGCGGCGUGCUUAACACAUGCAAGUCGAACGAAGCAUUAUAACUUGAUUUCUUCGGAAUAAUUGUUACAAUGACUGAGUGGCGGACGGGUGAGUAACGCGUGGGUAACCUGCCUCAUACAGGGGGAUAACAGUUAGAAAUAGGUGCUAAUACCGCAUAAGCGCACAGGACCGCAUGGUCCGGUGUGAAAAAACUCCGGUGGUGUGAGAUGGACCCGNGUCUGAUUAGCUAGUUGGUGGGGUAACGGCCUACCAAGGCGACGAUCAGUAGCCGGCCUGAGAGGGUGAACGGCCACAUUGGGACUGAGACACGGCCCAAACUCCUACGGGAGCAGCAGUGGGAAUAUUGCACAAUGGGGGAAACCCUGAUGCAGCGACGCCGCGUGAGUGAAGAAGUAUUUCGGAUGUAAAGCUCU
rnacentral:rRNA from 1 species